rnacentral:lncRNA from 1 species
AUGGAGGGCGGCGCGUCCCGGCGACCCACUCGGCCGAGUCGCGCGAACGGCGAACCGCUCGGUGCGCGCGCUGCGGGCUCUGGUCUGAGCGCCGAGGAGCGCGAGGCGAGCGAGGCUAAACCGCCGUUUGGCAAGUACGGAGCCCCGAUCCGACACCGGUGGCCGCCUCCACGCUCUCCCGUUGAGUCCCCGCGCCCAGCGCGGUCCGGGUCCCGGUCGGCGGAGUCCGCCCCGGCUAAGUGCUCGCUCGAGAGAGCUAGCGCGUCCGCUCCGGGGCCGCCCCGUGCGAGCUCCGAGGGAGCCGCACAUGUUACGGGUGAAAACGGCCGCUCGGGUAGUUGCGGCGCCGGGUUUGGGGUACGGACUCCGCGCGAGGCGGGUCGGAGCCGCGCCGAAGGGGCGCGGGCGGGGAGCGUCUGAGUCGGAAGCGACCUCGGCGAAGGGCCGGGGAACCGCCGACGGGCCUCGCCCGAUGCUUGCCCCCCGCGCCUCGGGAACCCCGGAGGGCUCCCGAGCGGCGCCGAGGGGCCGAGCCCCGGGUCGCGACCGCCUCUCCUCCGCGAAAGCGGGGAUCAUCGUGGGGUCCGCGUUGUAGGGCCUUCGCCCGUGGCUUAGGAUCGACUAACACUUGUGCAACGGCUGUUGACAAGAAACCCUUCUCCGCGUCAGUCCUCCAGGACCUCUCCAGAGUAUUUGCUACUACCACCAAGAUCUGCGCCGACGGCGGCUCCGGGCGGGCUCGCGCCCUGAACCCUUCUGCGCUCACCGCCGCGCCCUCCUACUCGUCAGGGUCUACCCGAGGCGCGUUCCCGCCGCUGGCGCGCUCCUCGGCCCGUUUGACCGGGCGCCGGGAGCGGCUCGCGCGGCGACGUCGCCCGUGCUCUACCGCUGACGGCCGGGUAUCGGCACGCUACUCCUAGCGCCAGACAUUUCGGAACCACCGGCAUCGGCAGGUGAGUCGUUACACACUCCUUAGCGGAUGCCAACUUCCAUGGCCACCGUCCUGCUGUCGCACGCCGGCGUCCGACCAUUGAACGGGUGUCUGUAAUUUCGGUAGCGAUUUAGGCGCCUUAACCCGGCGUUCGGUUCACCCCGCAUCGUCAGUCCUGCUUACCAGAACGGACCCACUGGGCUCAGCUCUCAUCCGUCGGUGUGCGCGCGGCCGACCCCGAGGGGACGGCCGCCGGGCUUCGUCCGCCGGGAAAGCCCCCGGUCUCACCCGUUCGGAGUUUGAGAAUAGGUCGAGACCGUUGCGGCCCCGAGAAGCCUCUAAUCAUUCGCUCUACCGGGGAUGGGAUUGCGAGCCGGCGCGGAACUCGUCGUACGGUCCGCGCUGAUCGAGCGCCAGCUAUCCUGAGGGAAAUUUCGGAGGGAACCAGCUACUAGAUGGUUCGAUUGGUCUUUCGCCCCUAUACCCAGCUCGGACGAUCGAUUUGCACGUCAGAACCGCUGCGGACCUCCGCCAGGGUUUCCCCUGGUUUCGUCCUGGCCGGGCAUAGUUCACCAUCUUUCGGGUCCUACCGUGCACGCUUCGAGAGCGCCUCGCUCGCCGCCCUGGGUGGCGGGUAUCUGCUCGGCGCCCCGGGAUUGCUGCAACGGGCCGCAGCUAGGACGGACACCGCCGGGGUACGCGCGGAGUUGCCCCCGUUUCCCCCGGCCCCGUUGUUUCGUCCCUUGCGCUGAGCGCUCACUUUCAUUGCGCCUCGGGGU